GAGGGUCCGCGGCUUCAUUCUUGAAGUCAGUGAGACCAAGAACCCACCAAUUCCGGACACAGAAUUUCAUGGAGCCUGGAGCCCAGGAAAAGGGUGAAUCCAAUGCAGGCUGAUUUCUGGCUUACAUCACAGUCCAGUCUGAUUUUCUGCAGAUUACUUUCUACAAGACGAUUUGGGACCUCAGUUUACCACCUCCCAGCGGACCGACGGGUGCGGGAGGAGAAUCACAAAUAUUGUGGCUAGUACAGAACAACCUCUUCCACCAAGCCAGUUGUGACUGUUGCGGAUGGAGAUGGACACCUAGUGAAUGAUUUAAUCCACCAACAAUUGUGGCACACAGGCAUCGUCUUCCCCACGCCAGGACUCAGAGGCUGAGCCCAGGGUGCUGAGAGGCUGAGCC
rnacentral:lncRNA from 10 species